GACGAACGCUGGCGGCAAGCUUAACACAUGCAAGUCGAACGCCGUAGCAAUACGGAGUGGCAGACGGGUGAGUAACGCGUGGGAACGUGCCUUUCGGUUCGGAACAACUGAGGGAAACUUCAGCUAAAACCGGAUACGCCCUUCGGGGGAAAGUUUACGCCGAAAGAUCGGCCCGCGUUAGAUUAGCUAGUUGGUGGGGUAAUGGCCUACCAAGGCGACGAUCUAUAGCUGUUCUGAGAGGAAGAUCAGCCACACUGGGACUGAGACACGGCCCAGACUCCUACGGGAGGCAGCAGUGGGGAAUAUUGGACAAUGGGCGCAAGCCUGAUCCAGCUAUGCCGCGUGGAUGAAGAAGGCCUUAGGGUUGUAAAGUCCUUUCGUUGGUGAAGAUAAUGACGGUAACCAAAGAAGAAGCCCCGGCUAAUUUCGUGCCAGCAGCCGCAGUAAGAC
rnacentral:rRNA from 1 species